rnacentral:rRNA from 1 species
AUACAGAGGGUGCAAGCGUUAAUCGGAAUUACUGGGCGUAAAGCGCGCGUAGGUGGUUGUGUAAGUCGGAUGUGAAAGCCCCGGGCUUAACCUGGGAAUUGCAUUCGAAACUGCACGACUAAAGUCUGAUAGAGGGAAGUGGAAUUUCCGGUGUAGCGGUGAAAUGCGUAGAUAUCGGAAGGAACACCAGUGGCGAAGGCGGCUUCCUGGAUCAAGACUGACACUGAGGUGCGAAAGCGUGGGGAGCAAACAGGAUUAGAUACCCUAGUAGUCC